rnacentral:rRNA from 1 species
AUUGAACGCUGGCGGCAUGCUUUACACAUGCAAGUCGAACGGUAACAGGCCGCAAGGUGCUGACGAGUGGCGAACGGGUGAGUAAUACAUCGGAACGUGCCCAGUCGUGGGGGAUAACGCAGCGAAAGCUGUGCUAAUACCGCAUACGAUCUAUGGAUGAAAGCGGGGGACCGUAAGGCCUCGCGCGAUUGGAGCGGCCGAUGUCAGAUUAGGUAGUUGGUGGGGUAAAGGCCCACCAAGCCAACGAUCUGUAGCUGGUCUGAGAGGACGACCAGCCACACUGGGACUGAGACACGGCCCAGACUCCUACGGGAGGCAGCAGUGGGGAAUUUUGGACAAUGGGCGCAAGCCUGAUCCAGCAAUGCCGCGUGCAGGAAGAAGGCCUUCGGGUUGUAAACUGCUUUUGUACGGAACGAAACGGUCUGGGUUAAUACCUCGGGCUAAUGACGGUACCGUAAGAAUAAGCACCGGCUAACUACGUGCCAGCCGCCGCAGUAAGAC